AUCCAGCCGACAAGUCCCAAAUAGGACUAAGCGCAAGUCCUGGAU
rnacentral:hammerhead_ribozyme from 1 species